CUUGGUCAUUUAGAGGAAGUAAAAGUCGUAACAAGGUAACCGUAGGUGAACCUGCGGUUGGAUCAUUAAUGAACUUUGGUUGAGUUGGCUUUGUUGCCCUCGAUCGUCAACACCUUGUGAAUUGUAAAAUUGUAUUUGGCAAGUGAUGCAGCAGCUCGCUGCAGAAUUUUCCCCCUCUCCCUCUUUUCCCUAGGGAAGGGAAGGGAAGCGGGAAAAGCUUGUCCCCAUUAUACCUUGAACUAUGUAAUGCAUUUAAUCCUGAACAAUAAAUUUACAGAAAUACUAAAACAACUUUUGGCAACGGAUCUCUUGGCUCUCGCAACGAUGAAGAACGCAGCGAAAUGCGAUACGUAUCAUGAAUUGCAGAACUCUGAAUGAUAAAUGUUUGAACGCACAUUGCGCCAGCCUUUGGUUGGCAUGUCUGUCUGAGAAUCUUCAAGUUUCUCUCUUGGAAAGCAAUUUGCUUUUUUUUUUUGAGGCCCUUGACAGUCCUACAAUGCCGCUAGGCUGUUGAAAUUAAACGUAUUGUCUCGCAGCCAUGAGGGGUUGGGUGAUUUUGACCAAAUCAAUUUUACCCGCUUGCCCUUAAUUCAGGCUAAGCAUACUUGGUCUCAGAUCAGACAGGAGGACCCGCUGAACUUAAGCAUAUCAAUAAGCGGAGGA
rnacentral:rRNA from 1 species